rnacentral:SRP_RNA from 1 species
GCCGGGCGCGGUGGCGCGUGCCUGUAGUCCCAGCUACUAGGGAGGCUGAGGUGGGAGGAUCGCUUGAGCCCAGGAGUUCUGGGCUGUAGUGCGCUAUGCCGAUCGGGUGUCCGCACUAAGUUCGGCAUCAAUAUGGUGACCUCCCGGGAGCGGGGGACCACCAGGUUGCCUAAGGAGGGGUGAACCGGCCCAGGUCGGAAACGGAGCAGGUCAAAACUCCCGUGCUGAUCAGUAGUGGGAUCGCGCCUGUGAAUAGCCACUGCACUCCAGCCUGGGCAAUAUAGCGAGACCCUGUCUCU